AAUGGUGUUGAUGCGUGAAUAAUGGUUGGUUAAGUAUGACUUUUCGAUCUAAAAUACUACUGUUUGGAGUUUUUAGUUGAAUACAGACCAGACCCACACGCUUACUCGUCGGUCGUCAAAUUGAAAUUUUAAUGGCGUCCAAAGUCAAAAUUUCCUGGUUAGCAUAUUGAAAAGAAAAAGCGACGUCGUACUUGCCAUGUUUGACGUGUUAAGU
rnacentral:lncRNA from 1 species